UGCUAUGAAAAUAAAUCAGUUUCAAAAUUCUAAUUAAAGAAUUAAAGAAAACAUAUCUGCUUAUUAAUGAAAAUGCAUCACAAAGACAUAGCUUCAAGCAGCUAAAGUUUGACUGUGCAAAAAAUUAACCAUGCAUACAGUAUAUCUUCAAGACUUUCCAGACCUUUUUAUUAUUAUAUUACACUUGCCUGCAUAACUGGGUCCCACUACAAAUUGUAUGCACAACAUUACUUAUACAUGUAAUAUAUCAGUGUUAUAUUAUUAGCACAGCCUUUUAACAGAUUGAGUCGACAUCCCAAUCCUGCAGUUAUUCUGAAAAUCAUACAGAAAACAUGUAUGGCAAAUCCUCAUUUGUUCGGACAUCUACAGUAUAUUUAGUGUUCCCUGGAGUAAGGUCAGGACAUCUACAGUACAUUUAGUGUUCCCUGGAGUAAGGUCAGGACAUCUACAGUAUAUUUAGCGUGCCCUGGAGUAAGGUCAGGACAGUUUAUUUAGUGUUCCCUUGAGUAAAGUCAGGACAUCUACAGUAUAUUUAGUGUUCCCAGGAGUAGGUCAGGACAUCUACAGUAUAUUUAGCGUUCCCUGGAGUAAGGUCAGGACAGUUUAUUUAGUGUUCCCUGGAGUAAAGUCAGGACAUCUACAGUAUAUUUAAUGUUCCCUGGAGUAAGGUCAGGACAUCUACAGUACAUUUAGUGUUCCCUGGAGUAAGGUCAGGACAUCAACAGUAUAUUUAGCAUUCCCUUGAGUAAGGUACCGGUCAGGACAGUAUAUUUAGUGUUCCCUGGAGUAAGGUCAGGGCAUCUAUGUGUAAAAUAUUUAGUGUUCCCUGGAGUAAGUUCAGGACAUCUACAGUAUAUUUAGUGUCCCCUGGAGAAAGGUCAGGGCAUCUAAAGUAUAUUAAGUGUUCCCUGGAGUAAGGUCAGGACAUCUACAGUAUAUUUAGUGUUCCCUUCAAUAAGGUCAGAACAUCUACAGUAUAUUUAGUGUUCCCUGGAGUAAGGUCAGGACAUCUACAGUAUAAGUACUGCACCCUUGAAUAAGGUCAGGACAUCUACAGUAUAUUAAGUGUUCCCUUGAGUAAGGUCAGGACAUCUACAGUAUAUUUAGUGUUCCCUUCAAUAAGGUCAGAACAUCUACAGUAUAUUUAGUGGACAGGACAUCUACAGUAUAUUUAGUGUUCCCUGGAGAAGGGUCAGGAAAUCUACAGUAUAUUUAGUGUUCCCUUGAUUAAGGUCAGGACAUCUACAGUAUAUCUAGUGUUCCCUGGAGUAAGGUGAGGACAUCUACAGUAUGUUUAGUGUUCCCAGGAGUAGGUCAGGACAUCUACAGUAUAUCUAG